CUCAUUACUUCACCGAAUUCGCCCUCUUCAUUUUCUUCGCGAUUUCGAACCUAUAUAUAGGCAUCUUCGACUUGAUGGUUUCCACAGAUUCAUAGCUUCUCUCUACUCAAAAAUCAGAAACACUCAUGCACGAACGAUGGCCACUUCCCAGAUCUCUCUUUCCAAGUUGAAGGCAGUAUCGGAGGAGGAUCUUUACUUGAGAUCAGAGAGAAGGAAGAAUCUUCAUCAAUGGCGUCAAAAGUCUAUGAUCCUAGAGGAGUUGUAGGUUGUUGACUCGCUGUUUGUUCUUAUUGUUUUCUUGAUUCUAUGUGUGGGUUCUCUGUUUAGAUUCGGAUUGUAAACAAGUUUUGAUUGGGUUUGAUCUAUGAGUUUACAAAGUUUGUGUAUUUGGUUACGGAAUUGAUUAGUUAGUUUGUCUGAUGCAUUUAGGCGAAGUCAAACCGAAGAAUGUUGUAAUACAAAACCAAAAGGCUCUUGGAAGCAUUGGUAAUCUCGUCAACAUUCCAACCGGAAAGGUGAUUAUUCUCUUUCUUGUGUAUUUAUCAUCACAUUUGCUUGCAACUCAUAUUUUUUUUAAAAAAAAAAAUAAAAAAUGUAACAUAUCUCUUCAGGAUAUUGCGAGGAAGGCAGAGGUUGUUGUUAUCACCAGCCUUGAAGAAGAUGAGAAAUCUUGCAGACCACAUGUUACCAAAAGAUGAGGUUUCACAUCUACCUUAAGAGCUCGAAGCAAGGUAUUAAUGUGUUUCUAAAAGUUUUACCUUGUGUGAUUUAUCUAAUCCCUCUCUCUUUCUCUAUUAUUAGGCUGCAAGUGGUGGACUCAAAGAUGUUGUGAUUGACGAUUCCCUUCACUUCAGCCUCCGUCCGUUCCUUCGUCCCAGCAAUUUGGAGUAGUCAUAGCAAGACUUCAGCUUUUAUCAGUUCAAUGGUUACAUCCAAAAAAAUAUGGUUACAUCCAAAUAGAUCUUCCUCUUGGUAUCGUUUCAUACACAAGCUGGAAGCCUUGGAACCCUUACCAGGUGAUGCUGUGUGUUGUUUUUAUUUUUCAUUUUUUAUUUUUCUUUUAUAUUAUCAAGUCAUAUUUUUUCAAUCUAUUUAAGGUGCAAGCCCUUUGCAUCGAACUGAACCGUCUACGAGAUCAAGCUCGGCUUAUGGAACUAGACCGUUAUCUCCUUCAGUGGUGCUUAUCAGAUCGGUCCAUGUUCAAAUAAGGAACAAUGUAUGUCUCCACAGUUACCUGGACAAGCUGAGUGUCCACUGAAAGCAGCAUCGCCAAAGGGAAUUACUUUCAGCCAUAUUAGACUUACACUCCAUCAUGUAAGUCUCAUUUCCCAAGCAUCUGCAUAUAUUAGCUUUAACCUACAGUCAUGACAGUCUCAUGACUCAAAAGUGGAAUAUUUUGGAAGAAUUAAUGGUUGGUUAGAAUUUUUUGAUUCAAUAAUGUUCUGUUUUUCUCUUUCUCCUUCAAUUUCAAAGAACUACGUUGGUAGAUCUCUCAUGAUCUUUGACAAUGCUUUUUGAAAUAGUUAUUCACAAUAAUGUAUGUUAUAACAACGAAAAUCAAUACUAUAUUAAAAGGGAUAUAUGAGCUCCAUUGAGACUGUCCACGUCAGUCAAUUAAAUCAACCAAUAAGAAAUCUCUAUUUUGCCAUGUCAUAUCCAUUUAUUAUCUGAAUCUUUAUAAAUCCAUAUAUACCCACGUUUUGUACAUGCCUGUUUUUUGGCCCAAUCAAUAAUCCACGGCAAAGCUUUUUUUUUUAUCAACCUGACGACAAAACCCUAAGAACUCUCUAUUCCUCAAGCCGUAGGUCUGAGUAAUCGCUGGAACGCUCUUUAAGACUCUCUCAUAAAGGUUCGCAUUCAAUCAUAGUUAAAUCGAUCCCCACUACGUCUUAUUACUUCACCCCAUCCGUGCUCUUCAGCUUCUCUCUGAUCUCUCCGAAGCUAUGAUUUCCACUGAUUCAUCGCUCCCCUCUACUAAAAAUUUAGAAAACCUCUUGCAAGAACAAUGGCCGCUUCCAAGAUCUCUCUUUCCGAGUAAGCCGGGGCGUUGCACUCGAACCAUUUUUGGGAAGCUAGAAAUGUGAAGAAAGCUGGUGAACUCAUGGGUGUUGACAUGCUGUUCUUGGAUCAUAAGGGGUUGUUGUUGCACUUGAACUGUUUCGUCGUUGUUAUUAUUUCGUUUUUGGUUUCAAUACUAUAAUUGUUUCAUUCUUCUUAUUACGUUUUGUUUACUGUGGUUUAAUUUUACUGACAAAUUUGCACAUCCUGCAGUCAUCUCUCACAUCCAAGCGUUUGUAUCUGUUCAUCGUCUGAACUCAUUCAGGGAGGGAGCUACUACGAGCUUAGUGGCUUGAUGUUACGAGGAGAAACAAUCAUUUCAAGCUCUGUGAUUCCAUCGUCGCCAUCCGACUUGACGAGUUUACGAAGAUGGACGAAGUGACUAUUGUUGCAAACCUGAUUCCAUCGGAAAUGUUUAGGUUCCGUAGUGUUGAUCAACUCAUGGCUUUGGCUAAUACUAACGUCGAGCUACCAAGUCUGUCUUCCGCUUUUUCUUUGUACUUACUCAGAAAUUUUAAUUCAGACAUCUUAUACCAAUCACCCUUUCUAUUUCAGACAUCAUUGGGGAGGUUUGAAACAUCAGGGCAACAUACAAUGAUCACACUCAGACCACCCAGGGUUUUUUGAUUAACAUUCGGCUAGAUAAGUAAAUUCUCUCACAACCUACAAAUUAAUGCUUUGUUUCAAAAAAAAAAAUUGUCACUGGUGCUGGUAAUUUCUAAAUAAAGAACUUUCCUUUGCAGGGAAUCAACUGUAUGCGUUAGUGUUUUCGGCAGCGUGGCUGAAAUCCUCCACAUGAGACUAGAAGCUGGUGUUGUCCACCCUAAAGUGAUGGUAGCAACCAACAUCAACCCCAAGUUUAUGGGAGGUCGUCUUUUCCUCAAUUCAACUUCUGGGAUACACUUUUACUUUGACAAUGAUGUGAUAGCAAGCCAGAGCUUAUUUGAGGAAUACGUUACUUUUUCCACACGUAUAUAAGGCCCAUGAUACAUAUGCCUAUAUCCAUCUACUUAUUUCAUACCAUUUUCAGGCUGUCUUCCAGCAAUGACUCCACCAGUGAGAAGCAAUACCGUGGUGUGCAAAAGCUGGAGGCUAUUUCAGUAUGGGAGUUGAACAUCUACGUUCUGGAGACACCCCACAAGCUAUUGAGCUCUUAUGCAAAGCCACAAUUGUUUCUCUGGAAACUUCAAACAUAUGGUGUUACAUCUCAUGUGCCAAGUGUUCGAAGAAGCUCCAGCGAGGAAUUUAUUUCUUCACAUGCUCUACAUGUUUCAAUGUAAAUGUUGUUGGGGUUGUCAGGUUGUUUUAUAAAUUUACGUCAUCAUCUUACUUAGCAUAAAGAUAUCAAUUAUUUAAACUGACCAUGUACAAAUAUGUUUUAUACGGUACCAGGUUGAGAUG